rnacentral:rRNA from 3 species
AAAUUGAAGAGUUUGAUCAUGGCUCAGAUUGAACGCUGGCGGCAGGCCUAACACAUGCAAGUCGAGCGGAAACGAGUUAUCAGAACCUUCGGGGGACGAUAACGGCGUCGAGCGGCGGACGGGUGAGUAAUGCCUAGGAAAUUGCCCUGAUGUGGGGGAUAACCAUUGGAAACGAUGGCUAAUACCGCAUGAUGCCUACGGGCCAAAGAGGGGGACCUUCGGGCCUCUC